rnacentral:rRNA from 1 species
CGGGAGAAUUGCUAGCUUGCUAAUAAUUCUCUAGUGGCGCACGGGUGAGUAACACGUGAGUAACCUGCCCCCAAGAGUGGGAUAGCCCCGGGAAACUGGGAUUAAUACCGCAUAAAAUCGCAAGAUUAAAGCAGCAAUGCGCUUGGGGAUGGGCUCGCGUCCUAUUAGUUAGUUGGUGAGGUAACGGCUCACCAAGGCGAUGACGGGUAGCCGGUCUGAGAGGAUGUCCGGCCACACUGGAACUGAGACACGGUCCAGACACCUACGGGUGGCAGCAGUCGAGAAUCAUUCACAAUGGGGGAAACCCUGAUGGUGCGACGCCGCGUGGGGGAAUGAAGGUCUUCGGAUUGUAAACCCCUGUCAUGUGGGAGCAAAUUAAAAAGAUAGUACCACAAGAGGAAGAGACGGCUAACUCUGUGCCAGCAGCCGCGGUAAUACAGAGGUCUCAAGCGUUGUUCGGAAUCACUGGGCGUAAAGCGUGCGUAGGCGGUUUCGUAAGUCGUGUGUGAAAGGCGGGGGCUCAACCCCCGGACUGCACAUGAUACUGCGAGACUAGAGUAAUGGAGGGGGAACCGGAAUUCUCGGUGUAGCAGUGAAAUGCGUAGAUAUCGAGAGGAACACUCGUGGCGAAGGCGGGUUCCUGGACAUUAACUGACGCUGAGGCACGAAGGCCAGGGGAGCGAAAGGGAUUAGAUACCCCUGUAGUCCUGGCA